CAGUCGCCACGGUAACACGUAGGGUGCAAGCGUUAAUCGGAAUUACUGGGCGUAAAGCGUGCGCAGGCGGUUUGUUAAGACAGAUGUGAAAUCCCCGGGCUCAACCUGGGAACUGCAUUUGUGACUGGCAAGCUAGAGUAUGGCAGAGGGGGGUGGAAUUCCGCGUGUAGCAGUGAAAUGCGUAGAUAUGCGGAGGAACACCGAUGGCGAAGGCAGCCCCCUGGGCCAAUACUGACGCUCAUGCACGAAAGCGUGGGGAGCAAACAGGAUUAGAUACCCGAGUAGUCCCUGUCUCUUAUAC
rnacentral:rRNA from 1 species